CAGCUAGUUGGUGGGGUAAUGGCCUACCAAGGCGACAAUCCGUAGCUGGUCUGAGAGGACGACCAGCCACACCGGAACUGAGACACGGUCCGGACUCCUACGGGAGGCAGCAGUGGGGAAUAUUGGACAAUGGGGGAAACCCUGAUCCAGCGACGCCGCGUGUGUGAAGAAGGUCUGCGGGUUGUAAAGCACUUUUAGUGGGGACAAAAAGCUACGGACUAAUACUCUGUGGUCUUGAUUUAACCCAAAGAAAAAGCACCGGCUAACUCUGUGCCAGCAGCCGCGGUAAUACAGAGGGUGCGAGCGUUAAUCGGAAUUACUGGGCGUAAAGCGCGCGUAGACGGUUUUGUAAGUCAGAUGUGAAAUCCCUGGGCUCAACCUGGGAACUGCAUUUGAAACUGCAUGGCUAGAGUAUGGAAGAGGGAAGUGGAAUUUCCGGUGUAGCGGUGAAAUGCGUAGAUAUCGGAAGGAACACCAGUGGCGAAAGCGACUUCCUGGUCCAAUACUGACGUUC
rnacentral:rRNA from 1 species